rnacentral:tRNA from 1 species
AGUAAAAUGACCGAGAUUUAGGUGAUAAAUUGUAAAUUUAUUUACGGAGUUACUCCUUUUACU